CCUGAGACCUCCGGAUCUCACAAUCCUAUCUAAGACACCUCUUAGCAUCAACUCAAACCUAUCAUGUAUUUAGACCCUCUGUUGAUCCAUAAAAUCUCUAAAGAGAGAAAUCUAUGAAGAGAGAUAAUUUUAGAGAGAGAAAAUAGAGAGAUAAACUCAUAGUGAGAGAAAGUGGAGAGAAAAAAUUGAUGAAGAAAGGGAAGGAAGAGAGGGAAGAGAUAGAAAC
rnacentral:lncRNA from 1 species